CCGGUCCCCCACAAGGUCUGAGGGACAGUGGACCAGCCCCCUGGUGAAAAAGUUUGCUGAGCCCUGAGUUAAAUGAACUACAUUGCCUUAUAGAUUCAGCCCAAACUGGGAAUACAGGACUGAGCAUACCAUCUACUCUCUGAACAGCCAGGAAACACAGAUCUCAUAUAUCAAGGUACACGGCAUAGGGCCACAUCUCUCUGUCCUGAUGUUUUGAGAAAUUAAGACAAGCACACAUGGGAACUCUGGUCAAAGGGCACUUUGCACAAACAAGUAACCAAGGACAACAAGAGAAGCACAAGUAGGGCAUAUUACUAACAUUCGUCUUCUCAGAAAUAAUAGGUACCAUGCCUCAAGAUUCUAGAGGUAGGAACCCCAGUUCCAGAUGCUGGAAGAAGUAAGCCAGGAAAGUGUGUCAAAGAAACAGGAGACAGACAGCAGGAUUCAGAACAUAGGGUGGGCAACAAUGCGUCAGGAAUGUGUCAUCACUUUUCCCAACCCAGUAUUCAGGCGGACUUUUUAAGAGGGAGAAGUGAUGUAUUGAGGGUGGGGUGAGAUGACUAAGGAAGGGAAGAGCUGAAGACUGCCCCCCCCCCGAUAUUUCAUGGUCUCUCAACUAGUUUAUCAAUAAAAUGCUGAUAUGCUA